AACAAUCCAGUACAAGCAAACAACUAUCUUUCACCUUCCUAGGCAAAUACGCGCCUCUCCUUUUCCCAAGGAGCAACGUUCCAUUAACAUCAAUUCUUCCAAAAACAGAACAAAAAUCAAACCGCUUCUCCGUUCUCCCAUUUUGACCUUCUCCUUCAUCUCCACCAAAUGGGAAACCCCUAAUCCGCCCUAAAAUCUAGCCACCUGCCACCCCUUUCACCAUUUUUAUCCCUCUCAACCCGUGAAUUCACGAAAUCAGGAAGAGACAGAUCCGAAUUGGUGUCUAUCACCUAGCUUAAUUUCAAAUCUGCCAUUAUGGCUCUGAAAAAAGCUUUCAAAAGUUGGAGAUUCGGAUUUGAAACUCAAAUCCUACCUCAUUUCUUGAGUUUCUUUCAUUUUUCGCUUCAAAUUCAGACUUUCAAGUCUGGAUUUGGUCUAUAAAAGGGGAAGCCAAAUUUUGUGAGGCCUGAAAAUCGGAAAAAAAGGAAAGAUCUGAGAAAAAAGGGAGGGAGAAAACAAAAAUUUGGUAGGAGAUCUCAGAUCCAUGAAGAGAAAAGGAGAGGAGAUAAGAAGAGAAAAAAGAUUAGGAGAAAGGGAUCGAGAGGGCUGUAAGUUUCUAUUAUUGUUUCAGUGUAAGUUCGAAUUUUGGUUUUGAGUUUGCUCGCCGGAAGAUCUUGACGGAGGCCUCACAUUUGAUGCCCAAAACAAGAUUGAGUUGUAGGAAUAUACGAACUAUCUCGCCUUGGAUCACUCAUCACUCGUCUGGUUUGUUACUAUAUGUGGCUGCUUGCAUCCACAUAGGAUUAUUAGAAAUAUGGAUUCGAAUCACCGCUACUGAAAACAGGUGUUCUUGAUUUGCUCCGUGCUUUAGAUUUACAAAUUAUCUUCCCUGUAGGUACUGGGAAUUUUUUAUUUUCAUUUUGUUUUCGUUUAGAAUCUAUUGGUUUUGUGUUCAAAAUUGGUAAAUAGUAUUCUCUUAUUACAUGCUGCAAAUAAGUUUCGGUAUGGCCAUGUUCACAUCAUAAUUUUCAAACGUGGGUGAGUAAUUAAGAGCCCUUUUUGCUCUAUAUGCAUUAAAAAUCAGCAUGGUGUUAAUCUUCCUUUCGUCCUUUUGAUCAUUUCCUUGUGAAAUUAUGAGUUUGUAGCAAGUAACUUGCCAUGCUGCUGUUGCGUAUUUGAAUAAACAUCAACACUCAAGACACUCUCAAAUUGAAUUUGCUCGGACUUGCUUUAUUCCUAUUCACUUUCCUACUGUACUAAUAAUGUUGGGAUGGUAUUGUUGUUUAAAGAUGAGAUAUAGAAGCAUGUUGAAGUGUUGGACUUGUUCAUGUCACUUUGUUUUUUUUCUUAUAUGCCUCUCGUAAUUAGUCCUCCCCAUUACUUGGAUUUCAUUAAAAGUCAAUAUUGGUUGAAUUUGCUCAUGGUGGUUGAUUAGGGAUUUGGCUUUGAAAAAAAAAAGGGUAGUCUCAGGUGGUUUGGUGUUAAAUUUCUUGUUAUAGUUUCAUGGUUAAUAACUCCCUGUAACUAAAAAAAUUGUCAUAAAAUUUUAAAAUUUAAGUUUGAAAGCUUGCCAUCUCUCUUGUUAAUAUCCUCACACCCUCAUGUAUACAUGGAUUUUAGUCACUAAGUUAGUAAAGGAGUUGCUUGUUUUGUUCUUUUGUGUUCCCAGUGAGUAUUACGUGAUGCCCCUGGCAACAAACGGAGGGUAACUAGUAAAGGAUGCAGUUUGUUAAUUAUCCUCGUUUGGUGAAAAUUUCAAACUAAAGAUUUCGAUAUUUAUAAACAUGGGUUGCUUUAUGUUUUUUUUCCCCUUUUGAAUGAACAACUAGAAGAGAUUAGCUAAUUGUUAAUUAUGUUCUAAAACCUUUAAACUAAAAAUCUUAUGGAUUAUGGUAUUCUCAUCGGUCUUUUGGGUUUUAGAGUUUAAGUAUCAUUAACAUUUGCCUAUUCUAUAGAAACUAUGUUUUAAGUGAUCAUAACUAAAUAUGUAAAAUCUAAUAUUCACAUUAAAUUUACUAUGAUGGAAUUAGUUAGGAGAACAUAUAUAUUUAGUGAAUAUGGUCAGUUUGUAAAUGAGGUAUGUCAUGUUAUUUUAGUAUAAUGUGAGUGCAAAGGUACUUUGAAAAAUCAACUUAAUUUUUUGUAUGCCAUUUUAGUCAUGGUGCUUUCCAGUGCUUUUCAAGUCAUGGUGCCAUUAUCGGAUUAUUCUCUCUGUAGUGGUCAUUUAUGUUAUAUUAUUUCAUCCUGACGUCGAAUAAUGUUUGUUUAGGUUACUAAUCCUGAUCUUUUAUUUUUCAUAUGAACCCGAGAGUUGGAGUUCCACAACGGAACUCAUUUCGAUCCAAACAUCGGAUCAAAUGCUACCAGGAUCGCAGAGCCUUAGAGUUGCACAAAUUAGAAGCCCAAACUCAUAAAUGGAGUCUAGUAUCCCAUAUCGUCUUUGAAUUUAAUUUAUACCUGUCAUGUUGAGUUUUAGAAUGAUACUAACUUUUGGUAUUGAAUUUUCUAUUUUUUUUAUAGAUAACUUUACUUAAUUACUGAAUGUAUGCUAUUUGGUAUUUGUGGAUCCUUUAGAAUUUAGUUUUAACACUCCCGACUUUCGCAAAUAACACGUGGCUAUCACUAAGAAAACAUUAUUUUUUUUACCAUCAUCGAUCAACUCUUUUGAAAACUUAUUACCGAUAUCCUAAAUAAGAUUAGCAACCUUCCCAUUUUUUCUCUAAAGUGUAACGAAAGAUAAAUAAAUAAAUUUUUAGUUUUAGCUUAAUCGAGAAAGUUAACCAAAUUUUAGAUUUUUUCAAAGAGUCUAUUCAUCAAUUUUAACCCUUUUUAGUAUACAACUCUAAUGUUUAAGCUUUAUUUUAUACUUUUAAUGUUCCUUUGGGUUUUUAGAUUCUCAAAAGAUUAGAAAACGACUACAUAUCUAUUAUUACCAUUAUUAUUUACACCAUGACAUUUGCAAUUAUUUUAAUUAUUAUUAUUAAUAUUAUUAUUAUUGUCAUACCGAAACUAUCAUCA
rnacentral:lncRNA from 1 species